rnacentral:rRNA from 1 species
AAUGAACGCUGGCGGCAGGCCUAACACAUGCAAGUCGAACGGAUCCUUCGGGAUUAGUGGCGGACGGGUGAGUAACGCGUGGGAACAUACCCUUUGGUACGGAAUAGCCUCGGGAAACUGGGAGUAAUACCGUAUGUGGUAGAGAGUCGAAAGAUUUAUCGCCAAAGGAUUGGCCCGCGUUGGAUUAGGUAGUUGGUGGGGUAAUGGCCUACCAAGCCGACGGUCCAUAGCUGGUUUGAGAGGAUGAUCAGCCACACUGGGACUGAGACACGGCCCAGACUCCUACGGGAGGCAGCAGUGGGGAAUAUUAGACAAUGGGGGAAACCCUGAUCUAGCCAUGCCGCGUGAUCGAUGAAGGCCUUAGGGUUGUAAAGAUCUUUCAGGUGGGAAGAUAAUGACUGUACCACCAGAAGAAGCCCCGGCUAACUCCGUGCCAGCAGCCGCAGUAACAC